GAACAAUGACGAAUCAUCUGCGCCCACCGUGAUGGAUGGGUCCUUCACAACCGUCUGAUAUAAGUCGGACGAAAUCAUAGCGCAUCUGAGCUC